rnacentral:ncRNA from 1 species
CUACGGACUUAGACAACUGAGCCUUGGUGGAGAAAUCUGCCAAGUGAACGCUCUCAAACUCAGGGAAACCUACCUCCAGUGAGGAUUUCAGCCUAUUCUCCUGGACAUGGCAAUCCUGAGCCAAGCCGAUGGACAGUCGUCUCGCCAUCGGAAGGUGCAGAGGCCCGACGGGAGCUACCCUAACGUCAAGCCGAGGGUAAAGGGAGGGUCCAAUUCUCAAAACCGUGG